GACGAAUGCUGGCGGCGUGCUUAACACAUGCAAGUCGAACGGUAAGGCCCUUCGGGGUACACGAGUGGCGAACGGGUGAGUAACACGUGGGUGAUCUGCCCUGCACUUCGGGAUAAGCCUGGGAAACUGGGUCCAAUACCGGAUAGGACUCCUGGCUACCUGGUUGGGGGUGGAAAGCUUUUGCGGUGUGGGAUGGGCCCGCGGCCUAUCAGCUUGUUGGUGGGGUAAUGGCCUACCAAGGCGACGACGGGUAGCCGGCCUGAGAGGGUGACCGGUCACACUGGGACUGAGAUACGGCCCAGACUCCUACGGGAGGCAGCAGUGGGGAAUAUUGCACAAUGGGCGCAAGCCUGAUGCAGCGACGCCGCGUGAGGGAUGACGGCCUUCGGGUUGUAAACCUCUUUCAGCUAUGACGAAGCGCAAGUGACGGUAGUAGCAGAAGAAGGACCGGCCAACUACGUGCCAGCCGCCGCAGUAA
rnacentral:rRNA from 1 species